UUGAAAGUCGUAGUCAGUAAAAGGUUCACGUCUCAACAGAGCUGUUUCAACGAGCUUCACUCCUACGCCUACCCUACAAGUUUAAAGGAUGAGCAAAAGAGAGAGAGAGAGAGAGAAGUGAAAAAGCGACCUCUUCUGGGCACUCAAACGGCACGUUAAGAGCUGUGUCCGAUGCACUGCUUACUGAACACAAUGCUAACCAGACUCGAAAUAAGGUUUUCAAUAAAGAAGCUACGAGAGCAGCGUGCCGUUUGUGCAGACCCAGCAUGCACCACGAGGUGGACAUACUGUCGACGAGAGUGGAGUACGCGACUAUAAGGUGAUUAAUUAGGAAUCGUAGACACCUUCACGUCUCCUUACUACAAGCACCACGCCCACCACGAGGCAGAUGACUAAGACCACCACUAUGGCACAAGCGACAGGCACGAGGACUGCAGGGUCUCGCAGGAGGGAUGAUCCACUGCCGGCAGACUGCGCUGCUAGUGGUGCGACAG